CAGUCGCCGCGGGAAUACGGAGGGCGCGAGCGUUACCCGGAUUUACUGGGCGUAAAGGGCGUGUAGGCGGCCUGGGGCGUCCCAUGUGAAAGGCCACGGCUCAACCGUGGAGGAGCGUGGGAUACGCUCAGGCUAGAGGGUGGGAGAGGGUGGUGGAAUUCCCGGAGUAGCGGUGAAAUGCGCAGAUACCGGGAGGAACGCCGAUGGCGAAGGCAGCCACCUGGUCCACUUCUGACGCUCAUGCACGAAAGCGUGGGGAGCAAACAGGAUUAGAUACCCCUGUAGUCCCUGUCUCUUAUAC
rnacentral:rRNA from 1 species